GGUCUAAGCCUCAUACACUUGCUGUAUCUAAUGAAAUAACUCAUGACUCCAGUUUGAACAGAAAGUGAUUCCAUUCUGUCUCUUUUUAAAUCUGUAGGGAAAUUCUGAGGAGUUUGACUCUUUCAUUCAUCCUGUCUGAGGCAGCCAACCACACAGCACUGCUUGAACUGGCGUCCUGAUAUGUGUCUCUCUGGCAACAUGUUGGCAUCCUCAUGAACAAUGAAGUAAAUCUUCAGCUCUAGACUUCCUGAAAUUGGAAAUGCAGGAAUGGAUCUUUGGAGAAGGUCUCAGGAAAGAAAAUGUGCCAUUGACUUUCACACCUUCAACCUCAAGCAAAUUAACCACCAAGACCAUCGCUAAAGUUUUUAAGGCUGUGAAUAUCCUGCGUUGGAGAAAUCAGACCUAA
ensembl:lncRNA